UACAGAGGGUGCAAGCGUUAAUCGGAAUUACUGGGCGUAAAGCGUGCGUAGCCGGUUAUGUAAGUCGGGUGUGAAAGCCCCGGGCUCAACCUGGGAAUUGCAUUCGAGACUGCAUAGCUAGGGUGCGGAAGAGGGAAGCGGAAUUUCCGGUGUAGCGGUGAAAUGCGUAGAUAUCGGAAGGAACACCAGUGGCGAAAGCACUCUGCUGGGCCGACACUGACACUGAGAGACGAAAGCUAGGGGAGCGAAUGGG
rnacentral:rRNA from 1 species